GUAGUUACUCGCUCAUUAGUAGUGAACUAUGAUCAUCUGUGAGGAGUAUGUUUUCAACUCUAUGUAUGUCAAUUCGAGAGUAGAGCGAUCUAUGUCAACCAAGAGCAGAACUCUCUCUAUUUCCGGCACAGGCUUUCUUUCAAUCAAGAAGAAGAUUAUUUCAAAUUUUAUCAAUAUCCGGACUGCUAUCUACUAUCUACCUAUCUAGCUACCCGAGCUCGUUGUGAGGCGGGACCCAACCCUCCUCUUCACUCCACUGCUUCAACAGAAAUGGAUCCAUCAUCUGCUACCCAUGAGUAAUAACGUUACAAAUCUACCACUGAUCCCGAGGGCAAGUAUGAAAAAGAGAGUCAAGCAAGAUUGGAUUCGUAUGUUCCAUUUGAGUAAGCCUCUGAUGCCCUGCGCACAUAGCUUCUUGCAUGCCCGAUGGCAGGACAGAUCUCCCAACCUGGAGUAUAUUCCCGGCCCCGUAGCUUAGCUUAAGAUCUUCGUAUUUCAAGUCCACCGGCAUGGGACCUGACCUUGGGAAUAAGCCCCGCCCUGUCCUCUAAGAUAUGAGAUCCAGCCACACCCAAACCUGGAAAAGCGGCAGGCUCUAGUUGAACUCCAUACCAGAAGAGAAGAGAACCCUUUCCGUUGGAAGAAAGAGAAAAGGGGCCGGGCUAUGCACUUCAAGAGAACCAACCCAAGAAGCACUCAAUAAACUAUUAUAUAUAGUCCUGGCCAAGAGAAGGCCACCAGAUCAAGCUAGCAGGAAUGGCACUACAGCACCAAGAAAGAUCGAUGGAAAGGGAUAUGAAACUAUUUUAGAUGCACACUCUAGCUCUAAAGCAAGCUUAUACGCACUCAUAAAGGUGCCGUCUAGUGCCGUGAAGAUAAACCGAUUCUCUGACCAUCCCUCGAGAUAGCCUUUGAUUCUCUUUAAGGAUCCGAGAGCCAUAUAAGGAUGAGUUAGCCGUAGGAUAUGAUUCCUUCUUGGGAAGGGAAUAAGGGGAUCAAGAAUGAUGCUGCAAACAAGAUAAGGGAUUCACCAAGGCAGUAUUACUAUGGAAAUGGUAUAGAGCUAGCCCAGAAAAGAGAAUCCAUGGCAUGGCUAUUCACUCAAUCAAAAGAGAAGGUCAUAAUCUGGAAACUAUUCCAACACAGAAGGGUUCUACGCUAGGAAUCACUAAACUAGACGAGCACUUCUCAAGUGCCAGCUAGGAAACUGUCUGUACUGUAAACCAACCUUGUCCCCACCCGUAGAGAACUUUUAGUAGAUGGAAGCGAGCUCCCUAGUCCUAUUCGACCCACUUGGAAUUCCCUUAUGUGAAUCAUUCAUGUAGCAUUGAUAUACGAGAAUUUGAGAUUGCUCCACCGGGCCUGACUAGUAAAUACAGUAUACGGGGAAGAGAGUCUUCUGAACCUGAAACCUAUGAAGCAAGGAAAUCACUCUACUCUACAAGCUAUUCCACUGGAAAGGACAGGUUUCUAAAGGAAUGGGAUUAGUACUACUUAAUUAAGGAAGGGAUGAGUGAUGUUUUCCAGGCGGGGGUUCAAGCAACUAAAGCAGUGGAAAUGUUCUCGUUCUCUCAUGCUUCAAAGCAAAGAGUUGUGCCUGGCAUUCCCAUUUGUCUCUCUCUGUCGAAAGCUAGGUCAAAGGUGCCUGUGCUCGAAAUGCAACAUCACUCACUUGGUCUAGUGGGUCGGGGUUCAUCAAGCUUUUCAUCUCCUGAAGCCGUAUAGAAUCUGCUCUUUAAGGUCGAGAAUCUGCUCUAGAAGGUCGAUUAGGCCUUGUCAUCAUGUCAUCGCACUCCACUGGUAUCAAAGUUCUCGGCCCUUUUCUUAUAUUACUUUAAUUAUAUUAUAGAAGUGUGCCCGGUCUUGUCUCAGCAUUCGAGGUUGGAUGUGUUUCCUCAGUCAUCGUUCGAGGAAAGCAGAGGCCCUCGCGGAAAGAUCAAAGAAAAUGAAAAGCAC
rnacentral:lncRNA from 1 species